CUGAACCGUCUAAAUAUAGAUGGGACCAAAUGUCAUGACGUGGACGGUCCGAUGCCGGUGGACCGAAGAGGAUGGCCUACACUUCGUGCACUUGCCAACCUUUUGAAUUGUCAUCGUCUCAGCGUCAAUUCUCUGCAACACCUGAAAAUGCCCAAAUCAAACACUAAUUUCCCGUACGUUUCCUCCAGCAAUCCUCCUGGCAACUUGUUCAUGGACUCAAACCAACUCGUCGACUCGCUCACCGCUCAUAUCUCUCUCUAUCACAACCGCUCCCCAAGCUCUAGCCCGAACCCUAACCCUAACCCUAGAUCUUCUAUUCUUAAAUGGUUCUCAUCUCUCACUGUCCAGCAGCGCCAGUCUUACAUUUCAGCGGUAGAUUCCAACUUCGUCCAGAUUCUCCUCCAAAUGCAAUUUAAACUCUAUACCCAUGGUCAUGGCUUCUUCAUUAUCCUCCCUGACCUCCCCUCACGUGAUCGCCCACACCUUCCCAGCCUCUGCUUUCGGAAGUCACGUGGUCUGCUGGCCCGAGUCAGCGAGUCAAACGACUUGGAACGAUUGAUUAACGACUCGGUUAGGUUGUUCGGGUCCAAGGAAGGUGAGCGAGUGGAAGAUUGUUCGUGUUCGGCGAGUUUUCUCGAUUCACUCACUGUUUGUGAAGAAUUUGUGUCAAAUGUCGAUCGGUUUGUCGCGGCAAUGGAUAGUGUUUCGAAUGGGGGGUUUUUGAGGGGUGAAGAAAGCGGGCUGGGCUCAGAUUGGGUUGAAUUGGAGUGGUUGAAGGCGAAAGGCUAUUAUAGUAUUGAAUCGUUUGUUGCAAACCGGUUGGAGGUGGCGUUGAGGUUGGCAUGGUUUAACUGUGGGAAUAAUGGGAAGAAAAGAGGAGUUAAGUUGAAAGAGAAGGUUAAUGUCGCUGGAAUUGCGGCAAAUGUUUUUUGGAGGAAGAAAGGCUGUAUAGAUUGGUGGCAAAAUUUGGAUUGUGCAAUGAGGAGGAAGAUGAUCAUUGUGGUUUUGGGAAAGGCAGCAAAAUCUCUGACUGAUGAGAUUCUGAAAGGGGCAUAUAGUGCCUUGGAGGAUGAGAAGUGGCUCUUCAAUGCUGGAGGGGGACAACCAGUGAAAUACAAAUAUACUGCAUCAUCUCAAAGGACAGACCAGGCACUCUCUGAUGAUGCAGAAGCUGGCUCAAUUAUGAUCCCAUCUUCUGUCUCUGGAAAACCCAAGUCCUUUUUUAAUUUCUCUAAUGGUUUAUUUGUGGUUCAGGAUAUUUUGAACAUUAUAUUGACAUGUCAACAUAGUGAAUACGACAGAGACAAAAUAUUUUUUAGCACAUUGGGUUCUAUCAGUACCAUUUCAGAUUGUAUAUUUCGGAAACUUCGAGGACUACUUAUGGUUGUUUGGCUUGAUUUCACAAAACUUGAACUGCUAGGAGAAGGAAAUUUGAAGUCCCCGCCAAAUAAAUCCAAAGAAAAGCUUGGUACAGGUGGGCGUAAAAAAAGGGGUAGGACCCGGAAUAUGAAGAAGUUAAAUCCUGUUCCUAGGUCAUGUGGAGAUGAUUCCAAAAGUCUCAAACCUCUCAAGGAUCAUGGAUGUGGAUUGGCCUAUGCCAAGUGUGUGGAUUUUGUGGAGUCCAAUAGGAUGGCUGGUGAACUUCAGCAAAGUGAUCUUCACAUGGAGGCAUCCUCUUCAGUGGUUGAGAUGGAAAAUGACAUGUUUUCGGGAAAAGUUCAAAAUGCUGCAAGGAAGUCUAGAAAAGAAAGAAAUAAAAAUAGAAUUUACAGCUUAAAAGAUCCAGUUGAAGUAAGAGAUCUUGAAACAAUAACAACAGAACCUUCUGCUCCAUCUGUUAUAUCCCAGAGUGAGCCUUCAAAGUCUAACUGGAAAUCUGAUAGUUCAGUCUCUGAGAAUGUGCCAAAUGAUGCUUCAAUUGGUUGUGACAAGUUCAUUUCAAGUCCUUGUAAACCUACUAAUGGGCCUUCAAGGGCAGAAACUACUGCUCAAAGCAUUCGAGAAGAUCCUGUUGUCAGUUCCAUUGAAGUUGAUGUUGCUUUCAGCGGUGAAGACAUUAAAUUUCAGAACUCCGAACAUUUGAGUGAAACUGAUACAAAGUGUGUUUCUGACAAACCAAUCAAAGCUACUGAGUUGGAAGAGGAAAUUGUCCAAAAUCAGGAGCAAGAAAGGGGGAAGUUUUGUAAUACUGGAUCCACAAGUUCUUCAGAAUGCCCUUCAUAUGAGUGGCCUACUGUUGCUCCCAUUCAUUUUACAUCUAUCAAUUCACAACAUCUCCCAGCUGCCACUGAUAGAUUGCAUCUGGAUGUUGGUCGUAACUGGCAUAAUCAUUUCCAUCAAUCCUUUGUACCCUCAAUACACCAGACCAGAAAUCCUUCAUUGGAUGCUGGGUGCAGCCAGAUUUUAUCUCGACCUUUGCCAAUGAGUUUAGAUUGGCCCCCAAUGGUACGAAGUAUCAGUAGAUUGGCCCCAUCAAUGACAUGUAAUUAUGAUCCUGGAUUUAUCUCAAGGAUGCAGUCUUCUUUUCGGCAGGGGUUCCCUGCUCACAAUGUGCAGGUCAAUACAGCCACCUCUGAAGAUGAAAGAAAGUAUUCAGGCGAUUUGAUGGAUCUGUCUGAUUUAACAAAUGUGCAAGAGUUAGCAGAUGAAUGUGACAGCCACUGGAUAUCAGAGGAAGAAUUUGAGUUGCAUGCAGUUUCUGGAUUAGAUUAUAGUCAGUACUUUGGUGGCGGUGUGAUGUAUUGGAAUUCUUCUGAUCAUCCAGGGUCAGGUUUCUCUCGUCCUCCAUCCCUUAGUUCUGAUGAUAGCUCAUGGGCUUGGCACGAAGCAGACAUGAAUAGGGCUGUUGAUGACAUGGUUGCCUUCUCUUCAUCUUACAGUACAAAUGGCUUGGCUUCACCUACUGCUGCUUCUUUUUGUUCUCCGUUUGAUCCUUUGGGGGCAGGCCACCAGCCUCUUGGUUAUGUCAUAUCAGGAAAUGAAGGACCUGGUAAAGUGCUGCAUUCUUCUUCAGCAUCAGCAGAUGCAAUGCCAGAGGAGAAAGUUUCUGGAUCUUUGGCAAAUUUACCUGUUGAUGUUGAAGGGAAAACAGGAGAUCCACUUCCUUACUCACUUUUGCCACCAAUUAUCAUUCCCAAUAUGUCAAGGGAAAGGUCAAGAUCUGAAUUUAAGCGUAAUUUUGAUCGUAAAAGCCCAUGUGUUCCUCCUGCGAGGCGGGAGCAACCUCGCAUUAAGCGGCCACCAUCACCUGUAGUGCUUUGUGUUCCACGGGCUCCUCGUCCACCUCCACCCUCUCCUGUAAGCGAUUCCAGAAAGAACAGAGGCUUUCCAACUGUUAGAUCUGGUAGUUCUAGCCCAAGGCACUGGGGUAUGCGGGGUUGGUAUCAUGAUGGAAGUAACCUUGAGGAAGCUUGUGUAUGCAUAGAUGGUGCUGAAGUUGUUUGGCCUUCUUGGAGGAAUAAAAAUCUUUCAACUCGUCCAAUGAUUCAACCUCUACCUGGAGCGUUACUGCAGGAUCGCCUGAUUGCUAUCUCCCAGUUGGCUCGUGAUCAGGAACAUCCAGAUGUUGCAUUUCCUUUGCAACCACCUGAUUUAUUGAGCUGUUCCAUGAGAAAGACAGCCCUCUCUAUGAUGCACAGCCUCCUACAUGAGGAAAUUGAUUCUUUCUGGAAGAAGGUUGCUGCAGAGAAUAUGAUUAGGAAGCCUUACAUUAAUUGGGCUGUCAAGCGUGUUACACGAUCUCUCCAAGUCCUAUGGCCUCGGUCCAGGACAAAUAUCUUUGGUUCAAAUGCAACUGGUUUAUCUCUUCCAACAAGUGAUGUAGACCUUGUAAUUUGCCUUCCUCCAGUGAGGAACUUGGAGCCUAUUAAAGAAGCUGGGAUUUUAGAGGGUCGAAACGGUAUUAAAGAAACUUGUCUUCAGCAUGCAGCCAGAUAUCUAGCAAAUCAGGAGUGGGUAAAAAAUGAUUCUCUUAAAACUGUGGAAAAUACAGCUAUACCUAUUAUCAUGCUUGUGGUGGAAGUUCCCCCUGAUCUCACUACCUCUGCUGCCCCUAAUCUACAAACAUCAAAAGAGGAGCCAACUCCUAUGCCAGGUGGACAAGGAAGUCAUAUUCAGACCGAAAUGGGUGGUUUAGAGAACUCUGCUUCACCAAAGUGUGCACAGAUAAAUUAUGAUAAUAGCAAGGAUUCAAAGUCAGUUCGCAUUGACAUCAGUUUCAAGUCUCCAUCGCAUACAGGACUCCAAACCACAGAGCUGGUUAAAGAGUUAACUGAGCAAUUUCCUGCAGCUACACCCCUUGCUUUGGUGCUAAAACAGUUUUUGGCUGAUCGUAGCCUGGAUCAGUCCUACUCUGGUGGAUUAAGUUCAUAUUGUUUGGUGUUACUGAUCACACGGUUUCUUCAGCAUGAGCAUCAUCUUGGUCGCCCUAUCAAUCAAAACUUCGGAAGCCUGUUGAUGGAUUUUCUUUACUUCUUUGGGAAUGUGUUUGAUCCACGUCAAAUGCGUAUUUCAGUACAAGGAAGUGGAGUGUAUAUAAAUAGGGAAAGAGGAUAUAGCAUUGAUCCAAUUCACAUUGACGAUCCUCUUUUUCCAACAAAUAACGUGGGAAGGAACUGCUUUCGGAUACAUCAAUGUAUCAAGGCAUUUUCAGAUGCUUAUUCUAUUCUGGAGAAUGAACUCACAUGCCUCCCCAUAAGUGGCGAUUCAAGUACAAGUCCACCAUACAGGCUUCUUCCAAAAAUUAUCUCCAGUAUUGAUCUUUUAUAGGGAUUCCAAGUAUUUGGAGAAUUUUUAUUUGUUUGGCAGAGCGGACAGAACCUGCAAACAGCCCUGCUCCACCAAAUGUCCCUAGCUGACCAGCCCUUCCAACAGCACCAGGUGCCCCAUCCCCUUGCCGAGCCACAACUUGGUCCUCCCUCUCUUUGGCGGUUGAUGUGUCCAAUCCUUGGCAUCAUGCUGAUCAAUUUUUAUUGGAUUUUCUUAAUGGCUAUCUACCACAGCUGAGAAACUCACACCUUCUGUUGAUGAUAUGGCUAAGCCUCUUGCAUCAAAGAAGCUGAAUGGAAUGAAUUACUUGGCUUGGAAACAUGUAUUGCAGUUCUUUUUGAGGGAAAAUUGACAUAAAAUCCAAGAACAUGAAGUUUGAAAUUGUGAGGAUGCUAUCGUGAUGUGGGCCGGUAUAGGCGUUUGGUUGAUGGUCAUUAGAACUGAAGAAUGCCCCAUGCAGUUUGACAUGCAAACUGUCUGCAAAUAUCCUUUGAAGUUGAUCUUGUCAUCCCCCAGAAUCCCGACCCUGCAUGAUUCAGAAAAAUCACAAAAAUGAAAUUGGGAUCUCUCAUUUGAUUGGGACCUUGCUGUUCAUCUGUCCCCUUUUGCAACCCGAUAUCAUUUGAUCAUCAUGAUUGAUUUGAUCUAUUUUCGAUCGAUUAUCCUCCAUGAUGAUGAAAAAGAAGGUAAGAUGCAUUUGAAUGUUAUUUGUUGGCUGUCUAAGCACUAAAUUAUUUUUUGGUGCUCGACUUCUCUAUGCUGGCCAUUUGUCGAUUGCAACAUCAAACUAUGGCUGCAAUACACACUGGAGAUCAUCAUUUGAACUUAUUCUGCAGUUGUUGGAAUGAGCCAAUUACGAGUCUGCUAGGCUGGUUUUUCUCAGAAUAUGAUAUGCAGCCUAGUGCAUGAGCAAACAACAGUUAUUUGGUGCACCCGAUACCGUUGUUAUACAUGCUGCAUAUACUUGUGGUGAAGGUAUUGUAUUGUAUAAUAAGUAUUAAGUUACUAUUCUCCGAACGCCUGCCUUGCUCUUUGCUUUCAUCUAUCGAGCUACAGGUUAGAUGCUGUCAUCAGUCAGAGAGAAGGUUGAACCCAGUUCAUCGGGCUCCCAAAAGUGGUUUUGGGGAAGAACAGGUUGAACAGGGUAGGAGUUUGUGUGGCUUGAUGGACCCUGGAGAGACAAGUACAAGGUUCUCCAAAAGAGGACCAGAAAUUGAUUUAUUGAAAACAGGGUGGUCCUGAGACAUAAAGAAAGAAUUGAUUUAAACCAAGCCGCCUUGUCAAAAAAGAGGGGAGAAAGAAUGUGGAAAAACAGAAUUCUGAAUGCACAGCUAUUCAUUCUAGUACCUGAUCACAUUGUAGGGAGUAUGCAAGAAAGUUACGCUUACAUUGUUUUGAGUAUUUAAAGUUUGCUUUUCCCCUUUCUUCUCACCUGUUAUCUUCGGUUCCCUUUCUCUGUUUAAGCGUCGAUAUUGACUGAAAAACAAUGAAUGAUGUCACAUGGGUAAUGAUGUUUUCUUCUUAUUA